UGGAAGGCUGGCAUUCACAGACGUGGUUAUGUGCCGCAUAUUAAUGUGUGCUCUGUAGACAUCCUCCCCCUUUUUAAAUGAGUGGCACAGGAACGAAGCCCUCUACAGAGCAGCCACCGUGGGAGCAGGAGCUCGCAAGGAUACCACAUCACAUUUGAGCCUCUUCUACAGUGUUGCGAGGCAGAGAUCAGGAGGUUUGAGAGAAAAGACAAUGAAGAACAUGACUUCAGUUCCUUCAAGCCUUCAAGUUGAAGGAGGAGACAGUAUAGUAAAAAAGUAGCUGAGGCUUGGCAGAGUAUGUGAAUGUCUUCAGAUUAGUUGCUAGCAUGUACGUUCCACUGUGAGGCUUAGUAUUUUACUACAUUUAACAGCAAAACAUUAAUAAUACAUCUAUAACUUUAGAAAUGCAUUUGGUACUUUAUUUAGUCUUCAUAGAAAUGUAUUUGAGAAAAACAUUAUUUGACACGUAAACAAGCUAAAUAUGAUUCUUUUGUCUAGAUGGUUCUUUGCAUUCUAACACGUUCUAGUACUUUUACACUUGCAUUCUAGCACAAGGUUGAUGUUAGCCACUAGUUUUAACUUGUUUUCGUUCAUCACAGACCAUGAUCUCUUUUGAGUAGAAAGAAAUAUACAUUCUUUAGUGCUCCCCUUUUUUCCCUAAAUGAAAUAUACAACUGGAUUUUUUUUUUCCCAGCUGAUUGUUCUUCCUUUUUCUUAUUUCAUCUCUAUUUUAUUUUUUUUUGGCAUCGUCUCCAAACUCUUUCAAAAGGUCUCCAUUAAAGAAGAAGUUAAACUCUCUAGAUCUAUGAUGCUAAAUACAUCCCAUUUCAAAAUACUGAAGUAAACACAUAAUUUAUUUUCUUCACAUUUAGCUAUUUUUAUUUCUCCAGAGUACUGAUUUUAGAAUAUUUAAGUGUGCUAAACAAAGAAUCUGCCCUAAGGAACACAUGAUGUAAAGACUUGAUGUGGUGAAGUGGAUAAACACACUGAAUACUGUACUGUACUGUUCGCACGAUGUUUAAGUAAAAUAUUUUUUUGUUGGUUGCUUAGUUGGCUGGGUUUUGUGGUAGCAAAGAUGGCCAGCAUAUACGAAUACUAUUGUUUAAAAGCAAGAAAGAUAAGAAUGAACACUAUAGAGGGAAAGAACACAGAGCAUGAGACGAUUAUAAGUUUAUCUUCUUACAAUGUAGGGAACUCAUUCUGCAUCAUCUAACAGUAGCUUGAUGGUCAUAUUAAAUUGUGACAUCAAGACCAGAUUUUUUUUAAGUGAUAAUUUUUAGUUUAAAUUGAAAUUAUGGACCUGAUUCUGGAAUGCUUGUAUAAAAAAUACUAUGCUGUUAUGUAAAAUGACUGUGUAUUCUUGAUGUAAAACCUAUGGAUCAAAAGAAAUUCCUACUUCAUCCAGCUUGAUGAGAGAUUAAAUACAUCCUAAACAAUACUUUCCAGAACUGAUGUUUUUUUUUUUUUUCUGAAGGAAAACAGUGUCAUAAGGAACAGUGUCAUAAAGUUGCUUUGCCCUCCCCCCCUCCCCGUCUGUAUAUUUUCUGCAUUUUAAUUUUGCCCUGCUCUUCAUUUCAAAUGUCUAUCUAAAAAUACUGGGACAAUUUAAUCCAGAGAUAGUUAGGAGAUAAUUUCGGGCAAUUCUUCAGUAGUAUGAAACAGAUGGAAUUGGCCUAGCUGCAUCUUUAUCAAAUGCCUCACUGUUGCCGGUAAGACUGCUGGGAAUGAAACUGAGGGUGUUAUACUGUUUCCUUCUCUAUAAAGAGGUUUCACAGAAAUCUUUACAUCUAACUUAUGUAAUACAAGAUAGAGUUAUUUCUUUGCAACUUGUAUUGCAGCAAAUUUCAAGAGAGUCACAUGAAGCUUUGAAAGUCACAUGAAGCUUUGAAAGAGUGACUUCACUGCAUCCAUAGGUCAGAUGUAGCUAAGUAUCUGACCCAUUUACUUUUUUCCCUCAAGUGCUUCAUGCACUGUUUUUCUUGAUUUCCUGCUUAAAGAGAUGGUUUUAUGACAUCACAAUGACAUUGACGAAGGACGGAAGGAUAGUUUACACAAUUCGAACCUUAAGAAGUAGACUUCCUAUUUUUAUCACAACAAUAUUAUUAAUAGAAAUAACAAAACAAAACCAGGAAAUAUAUGUUGGACAUCUUUGAUUAGUGUUUUACAUACAGAGUUUUUAUGAUUGGACUGGAGUUUUUAUGAUUGGACACUGUUUCCAAGUGUCAUCAUAGUAUUUUUCCUUACAGGACUAUUCAUAAGCCAACAGUGCUGAUGUGACUGAGAAAUCAAUCCCUGAAGGAAGGAAAACUACAAUAUAUAAUAUAAAACUACCCAAAUCUAAAAUACCUAAAAGUAAUAUUUUUCUCUUGGGAAGAGUUUGCCAUGCUUCUUAUAGUUCUAAGUGAUCAUGCAUUUAUGAAAAUAUCCCAUCAGAGAACUUGAGACUGCUAAGAAUGGAGAAAGAUAAGGACGAAGAAGCUAAGACUGACUAGGAGAAAGUUUUAAAAAAGAACACCUUUGUAAUCCUAUUAUACUUCACUCGGAAGACUGUGCCUACUGGUACAAAAUUAACUGCAUUUAUUAACAUAGCAAAAUAAAAAUUAAUCCUGUAGAAUAAUAUUUCUAAGAAAGGAAUAGGGUGGUAAUAAUCAAAGAUAUUUUACUAGCUUCCGCUGAAGGUUUUACUUUUCUUAAAAAUGGAAAGGAAAAAUAGUAUUAAGAAAUUCUCGAGGAUUGCUUAGAAACAAAUGAAAACUCAAUAAAAAUAUUCAGUUGAAUUCAGCUGAUACAUAACUAAAUUAAACAAAUACUUUUUUUGAGAUACUGUAGAAUUCAUAUAGGAUUAUUGACUUCCUGGACAGACAGAAUAUGUGGUAGUUUUCCCUUCUCAUUUUCAGAUGACUGGAAAGAAAAAUGUUCAAAAUAUUUUUUAUCAUUCAGAGACAUAAUUUUCCUUUCUGUUUGGUGCAGCUAUUUUCUAGAGGUCAGAGUAAUCUGAAUCUUUCUUCUUUAUCCUUUCUUAAGCUUCCUUUCUAUAAUAUAUUUCUGAUGCAUUCUGUGGUGUAGUCAGGAACAACAUGUCAGUUGUUCUGUAAAACAUAUAACAUUAAAAUUGUGUAAGGUUCUGCCAGUACAGCUGCAGCAAUCUCUUUAGCUAGCAAUGAAAUAAUUGUGCAUGUGAAUGCCAAAAGAUUUUUUGAAUAUGAAUUUUAAAGUUGUCUCUUUCUGUCUUGGAAAUAUCUAUUGAACGUCUGUACAAGCAGAGUUAAAUUAUGGGUUUGUCAGAGAGCUCUGAUUCUCAUUGUUAAAAUAACUGAUAAACUUUUAUUAAAAAGAGAACAAAUGCAAUGAAUUAAUAUGUUGUUAAUUAUUUAAUCAGCUAUAAUUGGAGUCAAGAUAAUGAAAGUGAG